rnacentral:rRNA from 1 species
AAAUUGAAGAGUUUGAUCAUGGCUCAGAUUGAACGCUGGCGGCAGGCCUAACACAUGCAAGUCGAACGGUAACAGGAAGCAGCUUGCUGCUUCGCUGACGAGUGGCGGACGGGUGAGUAAUGUCUGGGAAGCUGCCUGAUGGAGGGGGAUAACUACUGGAAACGGUGGCUAAUACCGCAUAACGUCGCAAGACCAAAGAGGGGGACCUUCGGGCCUCUUGCCAUCAGAUGUGCCCAGAUGGGAUUAGCUAGUUGGUGAGGUAACGGCUCACCAAGGCGACGAUCCCUAGCU